UGGGGAAUUUUGGACAAUGGGCGAAAGCCUGAUCCAGCAAUGCCGCGUGUGUGAAGAAGGCCUUCGGGUUGCAAAGCACUUUUGUCCGGAAAGAAAUCCUUGGCUCUAAUACAGUCGGGGGAUGACGGUACCGGAAGAAUAAGCACCGGCUAACUACGUGCCAGCAGCCGCGGUAAUACGUAGGGUGCAAGCGUUAAUCGGAUACUGGGCGUAAAGCGUGCGCAGGCGGUUUGCUAAGACCGAUGUGAAAUCCCCGGGCUCAACCUGGGAACUGCAUUGGUGACUGGCAGGCUAGAGUAUGGCAGAGGGGGGUAGAAUUCCACGUGUAGCAGUGAAAUGCGUAGAGAUGUGGAGGAAUACCGAUGGCGAAGGCAGCCCCCUGGGCCAAUACUGACGCUCAUGCACGAAAGCGUGGGGAGCAAAACAGGAUUAGAUACCCUGGUAGUCCACGCCCUAAACGAUGUCAACUAGUUGUUGGGGAUUCAUUUCCUUAGUAACGUAGCUAACGCGUGAAGUUGACCGCCUGGGGAGUACGGUCGCAAGAUUAAAACUCAAAGGAAUUGACGGGGUCAUAGCUGUUUCCU
rnacentral:rRNA from 1 species